UGACCCACCAGCCUCUUAUCUGAGUCUGUUGGAAGGAACCACGGAACCAUGUCCACUUUUCAGCUAGAAGAAGUCACAUGGCCUUGGAGAUGAGGAUCUCAAGCACAGACAAGCAAAGGGACCGGUGCCAGUGUCUACUGUGAACUAACCCUGAAGCCAACAAUGUUCCUGAAGUACUCAUAAAAUCCCUGUUCAAAGGAUAAGCUCUAAGCUGAAUGCGUACAUCUACCCAGCUACAUUCAAGUCUCGUCAGAGUCUUUCCAAUACAAUCUCCCAGCCU